GAACUGGAAGGCUACCCAUCAGAGGAACUCCCUAAUGCCAGGGCAGAUGAGGAGAACCCAUCUAACACAAAGGUAGCCUCAAGAACAAGAAAACAAGGUUCAUGUCUCAAGUAUAAAAAAAGAAAAUGUGCUACUCAAUCCAAAAAGUCUACUGUCUGCCAUUCCCAGUCUGUCAGAAGUCGCAAAAUCACCAUGUGGCCAAGGAAGAGGAAGGGCCAUCAAAUACCCCCAAGCAACUCUUCUUCUUUGGAAGACCACUUACAAGAAGGUAAGCGACAGAGGAGAAAGCUGUGUGAAGAUGGACCAACAGUGGGAGAAGGAGGCCAUGUGAAGACAGAAGAAGAGACUGGAGUUGUGCUGCCAUAAGCCAGGGCACCUGGAGCCACCUAAAGCUGGAAGAGUCUAGGAAUGAUUCCUGGCUAGGCUCCUCAGAGAGACAGAGUGGUGCUACGGACACAAUAAUUUUGGAGUUUUUGUCCCUAGAUCUGUGAGGGAAUAAGUUUCUGUUCUCAACCCACCCAAUUUGUGGCAAUUUAUUAUGGAAACACUAGGAAACGAACUAGAUUUGGUACCGGGAAGUGAGGUGUUGCCUUAAUAGAUACAUGGAGAGGUCUCACAGAGGCUUCACAUCAAAAUAUUGCUUCUGAACACAGACAUGGGUGAAGUUGACCCACAUGUUUCCAAGUUGUGUGCAGCCAGUGAGACAUCCCAUUGAGGCCCCAGACAUCAAAGAUAACAAACAGAACUCAGCACUCUGCACUCCCUGGAUUUCCUAAUAUGUAAAAAAAAAAAAGGGGGAAAUCGUUGUUGUAUUCAAGAGUUUCAGAGAGUAGGCUUUUUGCAUAAGAUAACAACAAAAAAUAAUGUACUCAUAGACAAUUAAAAAUAUAUGAAAAACUGUAUAUUGAAAAAUAAAAUAAAAUAAUAAAAAAGGAGAAAUAUCAGUCAAUAGAAACAGACCUAGAAAAGACACAGAUGUUAGAAUUUACUACAAAGGGAUAUUAAAAUAGUUAUAUAACUAUAUUCCAUAUGUUCAAGAAGGUAAAGGAGAGUCCAAACAUGUUAAGGGGAGACAUGGAAGAUAUAGAAAAGGACCUGAAUCAAACUCCUAGAGAUGAAAACUACAGCAUCUAAGAUUAAAAAUACAGAAGAUGGGAUUAAAAUGGCAAAUUAUAUAUUUCAGAAGAAAUAAUUAAUAAACUUGAAAGCAAAGCUAUAGAAACUCCCCAAAAUAAAACACAGAAAGAUAAACAUCCAGGGGAAAAAAAAGAACAGAGCAUCAGUGAGAUAGGACAACUUCAAGCAACCUAGUACAUAUGUAACUGACAUCCUUGAAGGAAGACGGGGGGCAAAAUAUUUGAAAAAAUAAUGGCCAAACUUUUCCAAAUCAUAAAUUUUUUUCCCCCAAAUCUAAUGAAAUGAGGCACAGCAAGAUGGCGGCAGAGUAAGGAGCUCCUAGAGUCAGCUCCUGCUACAGGGCAAUUAGCAAUCACCCAGAGCUCUCUGGAGCCGGCUGAAGCACCUGUCUGGGGGCUUUGGGAGGCCAGAAGAGCAUCCUGCACCAUCCUUGAAGGAGUGGAAGGAGGAGCUGCCUGUCUGCAGAGAAGAGGCUCCAUGCCGUGGAGGCCAGUGCCCAUCCUCCACUGGAGGCACAAGCCACCUUGGGAGUUGUUCCACGGCUGGAAUUGAAAGUUCCACUUCCCCAAAAUGCGGGAGGAAGAGACAGUUGGACACCAAUUUCAGCUACUGAUGAGGAAAUUCAGUGGGCUACAGUAUGAUCCUGAGAACAGCUAAAGCUUGAGCCUGUCCAGGUCAGAAAGAGACCGGGAGCUGCCACCUUAACUCCACGCCUGGCACGAGGGGAAGUAGGGUGGACUGAGGAUCCCAGUGCUGGUGGGGACCAGCUUCUUCCCAUCCAGGUCAGAUUGUAGAUCUAGCCUUGGCCCCAGCGCCACCUCCAGCAGGGAGGAAGCUGUGGGGACCUGCACCAGCCUCUCCAGGAAAUUACUGGCCAAGCCACGGAGGUCAGUGACUGUCCUAUUCUGGCGGCAUGAGCUGCCCCAGGAGCUGCUCUGUGGUUGGAAUUGGAAGCUCCAUUUCCCAGAAACAUGGGAGGAGGAGAUGGUUGGCUGCCGAUUUCAGCUACUGAUUGGGAGACUUGGCUGGCUAAGAGAUAACCCUGGGAACAGCUGGGAUGAGAACCAGCCCAAGUAAAAAAGAGACCAGUAGCCGCCAUUCUGACUCCAUCCCCAGCCUGAGGGAAAGCCGGGCUGGCAGUUUCUUUCACACAGAUCAGCCUGCAGCCCUAGCCUAGGCUUCAGCCCCACCUCUGGUGGGGAGGAGGCUGAGGAGCCCUGCACCAGCCUAUACAGGUAACUGCAGGGAACUUUGGCUGGCAUAGACUGAAAAUCAGAAGUCUAUCAGAGUAACUGUGGUCAUCUUAGGACCCUCACUCCAUAGAUUGCUGCCCACACCUGCAGUUCCAUCACUGCCCCAGGCAGGGGAGAAAGAGAGGUGAAGCUACAUCAGUCUCUCUGGGCAACUACAGUCUAGGCAUGCACAUGGAUUAUUCCACAUAGCUGUGACUUGGUCCCUACCCCUGGCAAAGGAGAAAGUUGGAAGAAGCUUCAUUGGUUCCUGGUGCAAUGAGGGCAGCUUAAGCCUCCACAGCUUACAGCACCAACUACAUGCUUUGCUCCUACUGCAUAACCAGCAAGGGAGAAACAAUAGGAAGCCCUAGAGAGAAAAACUGCACCCAGAAAAAAUACUCUAGUAAGCCAGAUGCCAAGACACCGACAAAAAAUUAAAAUCCGCACCAAGAAACAGGAAGCUAUGGUCCAGUUAAAGGAACAAGAUAAGUCUCCAGAUGACAUAAAGGAGUUGAGACAACUAAUUAUAGAUGUUCAAAAAAAUCUCCUUAAUAAAUUCAAUGAGACAGCUAAAG
rnacentral:lncRNA from 1 species